UGGGGAAUUUUCCGCAAUGGGCGAAAGCCUGACGGAGCAAUACCGCGUGAGGGAGGAAGGCUCUUGGGUUGUAAACCUCUUUUCUCAGGGAAGAACACAAUGACGGUACCUGAGGAAUCAGCAUCGGCUAACUCCGUGCCAGCAGCCGCGGUAAUACGGAGGAUGCAAGCGUUAUCCGGAAUGAUUGGGCGUAAAGCGUCCGCAGGUGGCGAUGUAAGUCUGCUGUUAAAGAGUGAGGCUCAACCUCAUAAGAGCAGUGGAAACUACAUAGCUAGAGUGCGUUCGGGGCAGAGGGAAUUCCUGGUGUAGCGGUGAAAUGCGUAGAUAUCAGGAAGAACACCGGUGGCGAAAGCGCUCUGCUAGGCCGCAACUGACACUGAGGGACGAAAGCUAGGGGAGC
rnacentral:rRNA from 1 species